UGGGUCCUGAGCUCAGGACACAAGCUCAAGUUCUGUGGAAUCCCGGGGUACCGCAGGAAAGGAAGAUUGGGUUGGAGGUGGCGACGCGGGGUUUAUGAGCACAGCAAAUCAUCGCUCUCUUAAAUCACUAAGCUUUGGGAUGAUGUGUUGUACAGUAAAUAACUGGACCAUAAUCAGUAGUUUGAGAGACCACCAGCAAGAUUCUAUUGCAUGCCAAAAUACGGUGCCACUGCCUGAGAGAGAUGGUGUCCAGGUCAAGACCCAGGCAUCGUGGGAUGAGGUCAGAGCAAAGGUGACUGCAGAUGUAUCGUCAUGGGACCCAGCUCUCCAAUGAAGAUGUAAAGUAUUUCCCAUUGCCCCAGAAAACUUCUUUCUCAUCCCAGUGCCUGGAAAAUUCUGGAAAUAAAUAUACCCCA
rnacentral:lncRNA from 1 species